UACGUAGGGGGCAAGCGUUGUCCGGAAUCAUUGGGCGUAAAGCGCGUGUAGGCGGCCUUGUAAGUCCGUUCUGAAAGCCCGGGGCUCAACCCCGGGAGGCGGAUGGAUACUGCAAGGCUCGAGUACGGAAGAGGCGAGUGGAAUUCCCGGUGUAGCGGUGAAAUGCGCAGAUAUCGGGAGGAACACCAAGGCGAAGGCAGCUCGCUGGGACGUUACGUGACGCUGAGA
rnacentral:rRNA from 1 species